rnacentral:rRNA from 1 species
UACGUAGGUGGCGAGCGUUGUCCGGAAUUACUGGGUGUAAAGGGAGCGUAGGCGGGAGUGCAAGUUGAAUGUUAAAUCUAUCGGCUCAACCGAUAGCCGCGUUCAAAACUGCAUUUCUUGAGUGAAGUAGAGGUUGGCGGAAUUCCUAGUGUAGCGGUGAAAUGCGUAGAUAUUAGGAGGAACACCAGUGGCGAAGGCGGCCAACUGGGCUUUUACUGACGCUGAGGCUCGAAAGCGUGGGGAGCAAACAGGAUUAGAUACCCGUGUAGUCCCUGA